AAAAAUUUAGUUAAAUAAUAAUAUCAAUUUGUCAAAUUGAAGUAAUCUAAAAUGUUAAUUUUUU
rnacentral:tRNA from 1 species